CGGAGUCGCGCGGGAGAGGCCCUGGAUUCGAUCCGGGGCGCCGAAGGAGCAACCGCCCCGGAAUCUCUCAGGCAAAAGGACCGCGCGGGUCAU
rnacentral:ncRNA from 1 species